rnacentral:misc_RNA from 1 species
AUGGCUGUUGGAGGAACAUAAUAUGGAGAGAAGUAGUGAGCAUAUGGGAUAUAAUUUGGAGGAUAAUGAGGCAAAUGCAUCCCUGUAGCUUGUCGAAAUACAGGGAGGGAUUGUUGAGUUACAGCUGCUGAACACUGCAUAAUGCCAGCAGCUUGAGUUGCAAGUGAUGUUGGAGCAUUUCCUCCCUCUUGAGAAGUUUGUGGAGGCACAACUGCAACAUUGCCGUUGUACUUGGUAGAAACUCCCGCUGAAUGAAAAGGUGAAAUGCGGCCAUCACCAUCGACACUGGAGCGAUAGUACUGGGCAUAGUAGCUUGUUGGGUCAAUUGGUUGCUGAACGACAAAGUUUGGAAGACGAGAAACAUCACGAGACUGUGAUUCAGAGAUUUCAAAAGGUGCAAGCUGGCUGCCUAAUGUUGGUGGCACAAAACCAAAACUGUAGUUUGGGGAUGUAUGAACAACUGAAUACUGAUGACCUCCUUGCAGAGUCCCUUGCUUAGAUUCACUGUACUCGGGAAUGGAGGAUGAGACAUCUUCUGUCUUUGCAGACAAAUUCUCCUGCCCACCUGAUGGCGGAGAUUGAUCAGAACAAUCGGCACCCUCUGCAGCUGCUGAUGGAUUUUGAUCACUCGACAACUGAUCAUUUAUUGUUUCUUCGAUAUCCUCAGAAGUUCCAGAGAGU